rnacentral:rRNA from 1 species
AAUGAACGUUGGCGGCAUGGAUUAGGCAUGCAAGUCAUACGGGCUACCACUGAUACUCGCAAGGGUAUCGGUGAAUAGCUAGUGGCAAACGGGUGAGUAACACGUGGGUAAUCUACCCUUAGGUUCGGAAUAACUCCGCGAAAGCGAAGCUAAUACUGGAUAAGACCACGGAGGCAUAAGCUUCUGAGGUUAAAGCAGGGGAUCGCAAGACCUUGCGCCUUUGGAUGAGCCCGGGUCCCAUCAGCUUGUUGGUAGGGUAACGGCCUACCAAGGCUACGACGGGUAGCUGGACUGAGAGGUUGGUCAGCCACACUGGGACUGAGACACUGCCCAGACUCCUACGGGAGGCUGCAGUCGAGAAUCUUUAGCAAUGGACGAAAGUCUGACUAUGCGACGCCGCGUGAGUGAUGAAGGUCUUCGGAUCGUAAAGCUCUGUCACAGGGGAGGAUGCCUUUUGUCUCUAAUAUAGGCAAGAGGUGACAGUACCCUGAGAGGAAGCCACGGCUAACUCCGUGCCAGCAGCCGCGGUAAUACGGAGGUGGCAAGCGUUACUCGGAUUUAUUGGGUGUAAAGGGUAUGUAGGCGGUCUAACAAGUCGAAUGUGAAAGCCCACAGCUUAACUGUGGAAUUGCAUCCGAAACUGUUAGACUUGAGUUCGGUAGAGGAGAGUGGAAUUCUCGGUGUAAGGGUGAAAUCUGUAGAUAUCGAGAGGAACACCAAUGGCGAAAGCAACUCUCUGGGGCCGAAACUGACGCUGAAAUACGAAAGCUAGGGUAGCAAACAGGAUUAGAUACCCUGGUAGUCCUAGCCGUAAACGAUGGGCACUAGGUGUCGGAUCGCGAGGUUCGGUGCCGUAGUUAACACAUUAAGUACCCCACCUGGGGAGUACGACGGCAACGUUGAAACUCAAAGGAAUUGACGGGGACCCGCACAAGCGGUGGAGCAUGUGGUUCAAUUCGACGCUACGCGAGGAACCUUACCAAGGCUUGACAUGUAAGUGGUAGUGAACCGAAAGGGGAACGACUCCGCAAGGAGAGCUUACACAGGUGUUGCAUGGCUGUCGUCAGCUCGUGUCGUGAGAUGUUGGGUUAAGUCCCGCAACGAGCGCAACCAUUGCUCUUAGUUGCCACCUCGAAAGAGAGCACUCUAAGGGGACUGCCUCCGUUAAGGAGGAGGAAGGUGGUGAUGACGUCAAGUCAGUACGGCCCUUAUGCCUUGGGCCACACACGUGCUACAAUGGCCGGUACAAUGGGUUGCCAAACCGCAAGGUGGAGCCAAUCCCAAAAAGCCGGUCCCAGUUCGGAUUGAAGGCUGCAAUUCGCCUUCAUGAAGUUGGAAUCGCUAGUAAGCGCGGAUCAGCUACGCUGCGCUGAAUACGUUCCCGGGUCUUGUACACACCGCCCGUCAAGUCAACUGAGUCGAGUGCACCCGAAGUUGCUGACUCAACCGCAAGGGGAGAGGCCUCGAAGGUGUGCUUGGUAAGGGGG